rnacentral:rRNA from 1 species
ACGGGUGAGUAACACGUGGGCAACCUGCCCUUGAGACUGGGAUAACUUCGGGAAACCGGAGCUAAUACCGGAUAAUAUAAGGAACCUCCUGGUUCCUUGUUGAAAGAUGGUUUCGGCUAUCACUUAAGGAUGGGCCCGCGGCGCAUUAGCUAGUUGGUGAGGUAACGGCUCACCAAGGCGACGAUGCGUAGCCGACCUGAGAGGGUGAUCGGCCACACUGGGACUGAGACACGGCCCAGACUCCUACGGGAGGCAGCAGUAGGGAAUCUUCCACAAUGGACGAAAGUCUGAUGGAGCAACGCCGCGUGAGUGAUGAAGGCCUUCGGGUCGUAAAGCUCUGUUGUUAGGGAAGAACAAGUGCGAGAGUAACUGCUCCCACCUUGACGGUACCUAACCAGAAAGCCACGGCUAACUACGUGCCAGCAGCCGCGGUAAUACGUAGGUGGCAAGCGUUAUCCGGAAUUAUUGGGCGUAAAGCGCGCGCAGGUGGUUUCUUAAGUCUGAUGUGAAAGCCCACGGCUCAACCGUGGAGGGUCAUUGGAAACUGGGGAACUUGAGUGCAGAAGAGGAAAGUGGAAUUC